rnacentral:rRNA from 1 species
ACUCCUACGGGAGGCAGCAGUGAGGAAUAUUGGUCAAUGGACGCAAGUCUGAACCAGCCAUGCCGCGUGCAGGAACCCCCGACGGCCCUACGGGUUGUAAACUGCUUUUAUACAGGAAGAAAACGUUGUACGUGUACAAUUUGACGGUACUGUAAGAAUAAGCACCGGCUAACUCCGUGCCAGCAGCCGCGGUAAUACGGAGGGUGCAAGCGUUAUCCGGAUUUAUUGGGUUUAAAGGGUCCGCAGGCGGUUAAAUAAGUCAGAGGUGAAAGUCUAUAGCUCAACUAUAGAAUUGCCUUUGAUACUGUUUGACUAGAAUGUAGUUGAAGUAGGCGGAAUGUGUAGUGUAGCGGUGAAAUGCUUAGAUAUUACACAGAACACCAAUUGCGAAGGCAGCUUACUAAGCUACUAUUGACGCUCAUGGACGAAAGCGUGGGAGCGAACAGGAUUAGAUACCCUGGUAGCGACUGA